AUUGAACGCUGGCGGCAGGCCUAACACAUGCAAGUCGAACGAGUGGCGGACGGGUGAGUAAUGUCUGGGAAACUGCCCGAUGGAGGGGGAUAACUACUGGAAACGGUAGCUAAUACCGCAUACCAUCGGAUGUGCCCAGAUGGGAUUAGCUAGUAGGUGGGGUAAUGGCUCACCUAGGCGACGAUCCCUAGCUGGUCUGCGAGGAUGACCAGGCACACUUGAACUUGGAUACGGUCCAGACUCAUACGGGAGGCAGCAGUGGGGAAUAUUGCACAAGGGGCGCAAGCCUGCUGCAGCCAUGCCGGUUGUAUGAAGAAGGCCUUCGGGUUGUAAAGUACUUUCAGCGGGGAGGCGUUACCCGCAGAAGAAGCAACGGCUAACUCCGGGCCAGCAGCCGCGGUAAUUC
rnacentral:rRNA from 1 species